rnacentral:lncRNA from 1 species
GUGCAAAGCCCAGGCACAGGGUUCAGACUCCAUCUUCUGUGUUCUUCUUAAUUGACAAACUGCAAUGGCUGUCUUCAGAGUCUUGGUUUUCUAUGGUGGUCAACUCCUGAGUUCUUAUGAUGUCGCUGGGCACAGAAAAAAUAAACGGAGAAGGAGACUACAACUCAGGAGCAGCUGGAUGAGAUGGAAGAGAUCCCCAGAGAGAGCCAGUGUGGGAGGCAGGACUUCCAUGCCCUCUCCUGUCCCACCGCCUCCCCAAGAGACAGAGUCUUGCUCUGUUGUCCAGGCUGGAGAGCAAUGGUGCCAUCAUAGCUCACUGCAGCCUUGACCGCCUGGGCUCAAGCGAUCCUCCCACCUCAGCCUCCUGAGUAGCUGGGACUACAGGUGUGCACAACCACACUCGGCCAAUUAUUUAUUUAUUGUCCGUCUCUCCAGUGAAAUGGUCCUGAAAAUUAGGAUGCUCAUGACCUUGGCCUUGCAGUUUGGGUGGGUGCACCUCCUGUCCUGGUGCUGACAUCUGGAUGAUUUAUGAACAUCAUUACCCUUUCACUGGACUCUUACUCUUCGGAGUCUUCAGAGCUGCCUGGGCCUAGCGCCCAAGAAGUUUGCUCCUUGCAUCAAUGGCGAUGCUAGACAUAUUCUACUGGCUGUGGCCCAAAGGCUGGAGGUGGAACUGUAAGAGCAGAGAGGAGGAGAAGGCUCACCAUGAAGACAAAAGAAGUCCUGAGCCUUGGAUUUUCUUCCUCUAGGGCUUUGUGGACCCACAGAUUGGUAGAAGUUCUGUGAGGGCUGACUUCUCCCCAUCUGUCCCAGAUGGAUCCCUUAAGGCUCAGGACACCUCAGAGGACUGGUGCAUGGGCUGCAGCCAGCCUGACCCAGCUCUAUAAAGAAGCUCACCCUUUACAGAUGCCCCAGAGAGGCCCCCAUCCUGCCCUGCAGCCAGCUUCCUGGGCAAGUGGGAUCAGGUCAGUACAUGCGCCUGUCCUUCCCUGAGCGUAAAAGGGGAGUGUGGAGGGAGAUGGUAUUUGAAACUUGGCAGUGGGGACCCACACAGACAUCAAGAACAAUCCCUUUGGCUUUCCAUUUGCCAAGUUGUUUCAGGGUCCAGGGUUUGUGACUCAUCCUGAAUGGAAACACUUGUACAGCACCACGUGGCUCCUUUCCGCCCCUGGCCGGGCGGCAGUGACCCAACCAGCUCUGCACUUUCUUUCUUCCCUUUUAAUGUAUCCAUAGGCACUCGGGGUCUCCCUCCUCCAGGGUUUCCUGAAACAGGAUGCAUUCAGCCCUUGUAGAGUUGCUGGGGAAGUGGAAGGAAAACAGAGGUGACUCUUGAAGCCCCAGGAGCUGACCUUAGAUCUUGACACUCCUGGUGUGUGCAAAGGUCUGAGGAGACGGCCAGAUUGAGGUAAAGCAGUAAAAAUCCGUGCUUGUCAGGAAAGUAGCAAGAGCCGAGUUCUACACUAACCAUUGGCUGGCCUGGGGCAGCCUGCAGCUGCACAACUGCCUCGUACAAUGGCAUGGACAAGCAGUGUCGGUGACGUAGCAGGCCGCUGGGGACCUGGGAGACAUCCUGCUGCUGCAGGAGUCCUGUGCAGAGCAGAGGAGAGAGCAGUUUGGCAAGUGCAGGGGUCCCACUCUUCUUUUGGUUGGUGGCAGGGAGCAGGUGGGGCCUAACCUGGGUGGACAGUGUCUACCUCCCUUCUGUGCAUUUUGCAUUGGCCUUAAUUGGUUCUCCCGGGAUAGUCACGAAAGCCCGACCUUUGUUCCAGGUAAAGUGCUGCAUGUUUCAUGUGUACAGCUCAUUUAAUCUUCACAGGACCUUAUGAAGUAGUUAUUAUAUCUAUUAUCAUCACAGAAAAGAACACUGAGCCUCAGAGAGGUCAAGCAAUUGGCCCAAGAUCACACAGCCUGCAAGAAACAGAGAUGGGACUCAGACCCUGGUCUAUUUGGCUCCCAUGUGCCUUACUACUAUGUUAUACCCACCCCUCCAGGAAUUUCAAGUCCCAAGAAAUGGCCUCCAGAAGGAAAUCCUUUGCCAUCCCCCUAACUUGAGUAUUCAGUGAUUUCUGGAAUAGAACUUGCCUGUUACAGAAAUGGGAAAAAUAUGAAGACACAUGCAAUAAAAAUAAAAACUAAAUUUAGAAUGAAGAGGAGACACAACCUAGGUAAAAUUUAAUUUUCAUUUUGGCUCAUAGGUAAUUUUAUCCUGAAGUGUACUAGGGAUAAUGAUGGCAUGCUGUUUCACUAGAGUAACUGAGUGAAAACAUAAUAAUGAUGAAAAUAAUGAACAUAAUUUUUUAAAAAUUCACCUUGUAGCUUUGUUAUCUAUAGAUGAUGUCAUUAAAAGUUCUGAGAAAUAAAUAUUACUAAUUCAAGUUUACAGAUGAGAAAAAGGAAGAUCAGAGGAGAUAAGGGAUUUGCCCAAUGCUAAUCAAUGAGUAAGGGAAAUGACCAGCGUUGGACCUCCGAAUCCGAGUGUAAUACAUCUUUCUCUGCAGAACUUUGACUCCUUUUUCUUUCUCAUUCUCUAUUCUUUGCCUUCUGGGAUGCCAAUUGCAUGUUUGUUAGACCUUCUCUCUGUGUUUUGAGCAUCUCUUAUAAUCUGCUCAUUUCUUUCUUCCAUAUGCCGUUCAAUAUACAUAUUUUUUUCUAUUGGCAUGUCUUGAAGUUCAGGGAUUUGACUGCUGCUAUGUUCUAUCCACUGUUAAACUCAUCUAGGGAGUUCUUACUUUCAGAUAUUGCAGUUCUAGAAUGUCCAUUUGCUUCUUUUUUUUUAUAAAUUCCAAUCCUCUGUCAAAAUUACUUAUCUUUCCAUCCGUUUUUUUCAAACUUUCCCUUAUUUUUUUAAAAAAAUAUUUUAAAUAAUUUCCUUCAAAUCCUUCUCUGCUAACUCUAACCAUUGGAUACUUUGUGCAUCUGCUUUAUUGUAUGUCUUCCCAUUUAUUGUGGGUCACAUUUUCCUACUUCUUGCAUCUCAUUACUUAGGGUUGUUUGUCAGAUGUUGUUGUUGUUAUGCAUAAAAGACCCGCAGCUACUGAAGUUGAUGUUCUUCUCCCCGAGAAAAAGUUUGCCUUUUCCUUAGCUAGGCAGACAGUACAGGGGGUAUCACUGGAUGCUGUGAGGAAGUGAACUAGAUCACGGCUGGGACUGCAGCUGGGUGUAACUCACUCUGGUUUUGACCAUCUCCUGGGGGACACAUGGGGCACAGGUAGCAUGGACCCCUUUCUCUAGUGCAGGCUUGUCCAACCUGUGGCCCACAGGCUGCAUGAAGCCCAGGACGGCUUUGAAUGCAGCUCAACACAAAUUCAUAAACUUUCUUAAAACACUAUGAGUUUUUUUGCAAAUUUCUUUUUUUAGCUCAUCAGCUACUGUUAGUGUAUUUUAUGUGUGGCCCAAGACAAUUCUUCUUCUUCUGUAGUGGCCCAGAAAAACCAAAAGAUUGGACACCCCUGCUCUCAAGGGACUUUGACUCUUAAGGAACAUGAUACUGAGGGGGAUUUGACUCAUCUCUCCCAGCCCAGCCCCCUUCCUGUAUAAACCAGCCUCUAUCCCAAACCUUCAACAAAGCUGAGUCAAGUUCUCCUAGGCUUUGGAUUGAGCUCCUAUUGUGUCUCUGUCACCUCUUCCCCGAAAGCUGAGCUCUUUAACCUCCACAUCAUGUGGAUUCAAAAUCUGCCAGGUGUUCUGAUUGGGGCCCCGCUGGGUGUGGUUGUCAGCCUCUUCUUCUACUGUGACUUUGACUCCUAGGCACUCUGAGGCUAUGGGAGAUUUCACAAUUCCUGGCUGGCUCAUCCCCUCAGUGUUCUGUGCCACCCCAGAUGCAAUAACUGCCCAGCGGGGAAGGUCAGCCAUGCUUUAGGGACUUCUGGAUGUUCCAUUCUUUGCCAGCCUGCAGGGCCCUGGGUCUCCUCUCUCUUUUCUUCUGCUCGCAGUAAGCCCACUCUUUAGAUGGCCUCAGCAAAUGCCCCUUGGAAAGAAAACUGCCAGCACACUCAUUUCACUCUGCGGGAGCUAUUCCCCUCUGGAAUGUUCAUUCUUUUAGUCUCUUUUGCCUCUAUGAUUCUCCAUACUGUUUAUAAAAACAUGAUUUUUGUGAUACAUCAUUUUUCCCCCUAGCUGUUGCAGUCAGAGGAAUGCCUUGCUAAAUCUUACUCAAAGGCGCAAGUUGGAAAACUGACGGUUAAUUUAUUUUUUCAUCAGUGAGAGCACACCGAGUCAUAUUUUUUGCCAAUAUUUUAUUAUGAAAGUUUGCAAGCAUACAGCAAAGUUGAAAGAAGUUUACAAUCAACAACUCACAUACACAGCAGUGUGUCUGUAAACUGGCUCUCUGGAGGGAAAACAAAAAAUCUGAUUUGUAUUGUUUGCUGAUUUCUGUGGUGUGAAUGUUUUUGUCUUUGCUAAUUUCAAGUUACCAAUGUGACGUGGGGGAGAUUUGUGCAAUAUCAGCUCUGGGGAGCGUAUGUGAGCCAGCUCAGGCCCACCACUGCCUGGAGCCAUCACUUAGAAUCUGUCACCAACAUCUUAGGGUGCUUGUUGAGUCAUGUGUGUAUCUUGCCCUCUAUCCACUGUCAAUCCAUCUUAUGUUUAAAAUGUAUUUCAAUGUAAAUUACAGAUAUAAGAAUAAUUCUUUCUUCUUCAACAUUAACUAGAGUUGGUUCACUAUUUGUUUUUCACUAACUUGCUUUUACUAAUUAAUUUUUUACUAUUUGUUUUGAUGUAAAAUGAAAUCUUAGUCUUAAUUGUGCAUUCACUGAGUUUUGACAAAUCCAUACACCUGUGUAAUCCAGUCCCUAUCAAGAUAUAGAAUACCAUUACUCCAGAAAUUUCCUUUAAAGCUUGGCCAACUAAAAUUUUCAGCUUUUUGGGACAUGGACUGUUACUAAACAAGGCCUCCUUCAUUAUACUUGACCAAAUGAUCAUUCCACCCUAAAUGCAUGUCUUUAUAAUUGUUCAAUUUUGCACUCACCAGGAUGAAUGAUCAGAAAUUUGCUAAUACAAAACUUUGAAAGUAGAUGCACCAUAAUAGGCUGAAAGCUUCAGUACCCAAAGUGUACACCCAUGUUGAGUCAUGCCAAGAAAACAUCACAGACAUUAAACACAGACCAAACCCUCAGUCCCCAGGAAACAAGGGGACGUACAAGCAACCUCACAUCCAUCCCUUCUGAUUCUCUGAAGCUCCAGCUCCCACACAAAGUACAUGUGAAUCAUUCUGAUAAUAAUCCCAUGACAUAGUUGUCAUCCCAAAGAACAAGCCUUUCCAACCUCCUGCCCUGGCUGAUUCGGACGACACCUCACUUGGCAAUAUAUGCAUUUGGCUUCCACCUGCCAUAAGUCAAGGAAAAAUAUCAGGCAAUGGUGGAAAACAAAAUCCAGGAAAAUAUUCACCAAGACAAAGGAGAAAGCAAUCAUUUGCCUUCAGUUAUGGGGAAGGAUAUUUUAGGCUCAAGUGGUGAGAAAUAUUGGACAGUGUUUCAGUUCUCAACCACUAAACCAUGUUCCAGAUGAAGAAGGCAGGUUUGGAGAAAAGCAAAUAGAAUCUCUCACCUGAUGGGCCAAACUAGAAAACAUUUUCAAAAACAAUUUCAUAUAUUUGAGAUAUUAACCACGACAGUAAUUGGGACAUAGGCCUGUCUUUUAUUAUUUGAGAGCUGCUAAGAUUAUGAUACCUUGCCCAUAUGUCACAGCUGAUGAAGCUUUUGUGCUUCGCUACUUAAAUUCUACCACUGAUAUCUCACUCACCAGACCUGUGAGAAUGGAUGAUGCAGAUUUGUUUAACCAUUAGAGCUGUGUAAUAAUUAAAUGGUUUAUUGCUAGAAGGUUCCAUAUUUCAUGACUUCAUGACCACAUGACUCUCUAGCGACCAGAUUUUCCAAGGUGAGUUUGGGUCAUUUUCAUUUGCCAAAUAAAAAUAUGAUACCCAGAGAUAAAGAAUAUUCAAGAAUGUGUUAUUAUUUAGCUCAUUCAACAAAUGUGUAUAUUUAUAUAUUUACUUCUGAUCUCUUUUUCACACAUCAACAGAGUUAUGCUUUGUAGAAUAAUGAUUUGUGAACAAUACCAUUUCCCUGCUAUUGCACAUUUAUGGUGUUUCCAAUUUCUUCAUACGACAGGUAUUGCCACAAUAAAUAACAAGGCAUAGAAAGCGUUCUCUGUAUAUUGGGUUAUUACUUAAGCAUAGAUCGAGGGAUGUAAACCUUUUUAAUACCCUUGAGCAACAUAAUAAAAUUCCCUUCCUAAAAGACUGUAUAAAUUUACAAACCUAUUUUAAAAAGUCUCUGAGCGUCCAUUUCACUGCAGCCUUACCAGCACAGAGUGAUGGUAAUAUAUUGAACAUGUCAAGUUUGAGUAGGGCACGCAGAUCCAGGCUGGAUAUUACCACUCCAACUUUGGAGAAUGUUCUGAAACAGGCCCUGAUCAGUAGACUUAGCUGGGUGAACUUUAAGGUCCCUGCUAAACUUCUAUGAUUAUAUUUGCAAUCAAAUUUUAAUUAUGAC